AAAAGCUUUAUUAACCCUUUUGCACCAUCAGUUCAUCAGGUAUCCAUUGCCAGCAAUGGAGUCCAAGCCAAGUGAUCCCAUUUUCGGCCCCAAGAGGUUAGCACUUUACAUUCACUUACAAAGCUGAGUGAGGUACAGUUUCAGAAGUAGAAAGAUUUGGUUGGAAGUCCCAUAAAAAGAUGGAGUGUUCCUUGGCCAUUGUAAUAGAUUCAGAACUGGUACGGUCCUUGAGAACAGCGUAAUGCUAAUGCAGGCAUCGGGAGCUCGAGGCAUCUCAGCUUCCAGGGAGAGCAUGGUGACCACUAGAGCAAGACCCAGUAGUCCCUCCAAAUGAUUCCUCCUCAAUCCUUCUACCUCUCAGGAGCGGACUCCAUGCUGCAGCCACAGCCACCAGGUAGAAGAUCUCAUCUACCAAAGAGUUUGGUUUGGAAACCCAACCUGAGAGGGUUAAGAGAUUCCUGGACAUAAGCUGUAAACUCAGGCUGAAGAACAGAGAGACCUCAAUGGUCUGUUAAGCUAAAGAUAGAAAAAUAAAAACUGGUUCAACCAGAGGAUAUAAUACUGCCUCAAACCAGGAUGUGAAGGUGAAGGUAACCUGUAUGUUUUUUCUCUCUCCCCAAGUCUUCAACCACAAAAAAGCAUUUAUCUGGACACAUACAUUGUUCAAAAGGCACAGGAAGUAAAAGCAUUUCUGAAUGACCUCGUGUGAAUUCAACACCAGUCUAACUGUAAAAUAAAUAAAUAUGUGCAAGGUUAGAAAGAUCACAACCUUCUCCUGCAUGACAUAUCCUAUUGUGUAAAAAAAAUACACAUACGUGCAUACACACACCUCAUUGAGAAUAAAAAACAGUACAUACACCCUCUUAGCAAACUCCUAUACAUCAUUUGAUAGGCAUUCAGUACAUCACCAUAAGAAACAUUUAAAUUACUACCUUAAAAUGUAACCAAAGGUGGUUUUCUUGUUUCCUAUACAACCCUAUAGUUAUUUAGGUGUCUGCAAUCCAGAUAAGUACAGUACAUACAACCUCUCCCCCCACCCCCAAGAGAAACUGCAGGUUUUCAGUGGGGCGAAUCUUCCUACGUAACAACUGUCUCCCCUCAUAAAAACACUCUUGACCAUGGCAUAAGUCUGUAAACCAGUUGGAAGCUCCACGUGUAUGUGACACUCUGGGAUAGCAAGAAAGAACAAGUGUUAACAGUGUUCCAUAAAAAAAUCCCCAACGAAACAACCCAACCCAAAGUAAAAAGUUAGAGACCAGUUCACAGGUAACUUGGCAGCAGUUUAUAGAUGAGAUAAAAAUCAAGGUGCUUAAAUUUACGUGACAGUCAACAUUCCUCCCCAGAAAGGGAACACAAAGAUGAAACGAACCUCUCGGAUGCUGUUGGACUCCUCACUCCUCACUUGCAGUGAGUACAGUUCUAUUGCAGUUUUCAAGUUUUGCUGGAAGAAUUCAGCAAAGUAUUUGGGAUGCAGGAGAGAGGAAAGGGAGAAACUCAACAUGAGCUACAAACUGAUUCACAGCUAAGGUAACGUUUAGAAUCUAACUUCCUAAAGCAAAGAUUUGAGAGCAUCUCAUUUUCAUGGCGUGGGACAUUCAUUUUGUUACGUGUGACAACUUUAGUCCAGUUUUCUGCUAAAACACAGGGGCCAAACAAUUACUUGUGUGUAUGUGUGUGUGUGUGCGUGGAAGAACACUUGCAAAGUUUAGCUCUUAAUUCCUCAAUGCCACUGGCUCCAGAGGAGAACAGCAGAAGGAAGGUUUGAACUGUUGUAGGCAGGAUAAAUUUGUACGCGUUAGCUGUAGAAUACUUGCUUUCCUGUGAAAACAGUAAAUAUUACCUCAGUUUGAAGUUUAAUACAGUACUUCUCCCUGAAACAACACUGUACAGCAGUCUGCCUCAGCCUCGCCAGCCUCCAGGCAGACAGGGUAUCUUACACAGGCACAUCAAGUGGGAUUUACAACUUG
ensembl:lncRNA